CGCGUUGGCGCGCGCCGCGUGCGCGGUGGCCUCGGACGCCGCGGCGCGUGCGCGGGAGGCCGCGCCGGCGGCUUCGAUGGCCGCCUGGCGCGA
rnacentral:tRNA from 1 species